rnacentral:tRNA from 1 species
GUCCGUGUCAUAUAGUGGUCAAGUAUAAUGCCCUCUCGCGGCAUAAACCCGGGUUCAAAUCCCGGCACGGGCA